UGACUUGUCUAGCUUGCACCCGCACUCCU
rnacentral:piRNA from 1 species